rnacentral:rRNA from 1 species
AAAAGUCGUAACAAGGUCUCCGUUGGUGAACCAGCGGAGGGAUCAUUACAGAGUUGCAAAACUCCCAAACCAUCGUGAACGUUACCUACAUCGUUGCUUCGGCGGGUGGCGGGCUUCGGCCCUGCCCUCGGCCCCUCUCGGGGGCCCGCCGGAGGUACACCAAACUCUUGAAUUUACAUGGCCUCUCUGAGUCUUCUGUACUGAAUAAGUCAAAACUUUCAACAACGGAUCUCUUGGUUCUGGCAUCGAUGAAGAACGCAGCGAAAUGCGAUAAGUAAUGUGAAUUGCAGAAUUCAGUGAAUCAUCGAAUCUUUGAACGCACAUUGCGCCCGCCAGUAUUCUGGCGGGCAUGCCUGUCCGAGCGUCAUUUCAACCAUCAAGCCCCCGGCUUGUGUUGGGGACCUGCGGCACACCCGCAGGCCCUGAAAACCAGUGGCGGGCUCGCUGUCCACACCGAGCGUAGUAGCAUAUCUUUGUCUCGCUCAGGGCGUGCGGCGGGUUCCGGCCGUGAAACCCACCUUCUCGAAGGUACCCAAAGGUUGACCUCGGAUCAGGUAGGAAGACCCGCUGAACUUAAGC